CCUGCAAAGUUUGUAAAACUACACUCAUUAAGUUUGAUGUGAAAAGAAUACGCAUGGAGUGAGAAAAUAAAGUAUGGAUUGCACAAAUCCCCCAAACGUGCUUCAAAAUACAUGUACUUGACGUUGAUGUGUAAAAUGCAUGAAACAUGUUCCCAGCUAGUGGUAGUAUCAAAGGAAUGUGAAACACCAACAAAAAUCAGCUCAAAACAUACACUUUGAUAGAAGUAACACAUGACCAAACUAGAACUUUCA
rnacentral:lncRNA from 1 species